rnacentral:rRNA from 1 species
AUCUACGACCAUUGAAUGAAGACAUCAGGGUAUCCCGUCCGCUCUGCCUUACUUAAGCUUCAUAUCGAGAUGUCAGUAGUCUGGUGGGUGACCACAGGCGAAUCCGUCUUGUUGUAGAUU